UACGAAGGGGGCUAGCGUUGUUCGGAAUCACUGGGCGUAAAGCGCACGUAGGCGGAUCUUUAAGUCAGGGGUGAAAUCCCGAGGCUCAACCUCGGAACUGCCUUUGAUACUGGGGAUCUCGAGUCCGGGAGAGGUGAGUGGAACUGCGAGUGUAGAGGUGAAAUUCGUAGAUAUUCGCAAGAACACCAGUGGCGAAGGCGGCUCACUGGCCCGGAACUGACGCUGAGGCGCGAAAGCGUGGGGAGCAAACAGGG
rnacentral:rRNA from 1 species